rnacentral:rRNA from 1 species
CAUUGGCUCAACCAANGUAUGCUUUGGAAACUGUUAGACUNGAGUGCAGAAGGGGAGAGUGGAAUUCCAUGUGUAGCGGUGAAAUGCGUAGAUAUAUGGAGGAACACCGGUGGCGAAAGCGGCUCUCUGGUCUGUCACUGACGCUGAGGCUCGAAAGCGUGGGUAGCGAACAGGAUUAGAUACCCUGGUAGUCCACGCCGUAAACGCUGAGUGCUAGGUGUUAGGUCCUUUCCGGGACUUAGUGCCGACGCUAACGCAUUAAGCACUCCGCCUGGGGAGUACGACCGCAAGGUUGAAACUCAAAGGAAUUGACGGGGGCCCGCAUAAGCGGUGGAGCAUGUGGUUUAAUUCGAAGCAACGCGAAGAACCUUACCAGGUCUUGACAUCCCGAUGCCCGCUCUAGAGAUAGAGUUUUUCUUCGGAACAUCGGAGACAGGUGGUGCAUGGUUGUCGUCAGCUCGUGUCGUGAGAUGUUGGGUUAAGUCCCGCAACGAGCGCAACCCUUAUUGUUAGUUGCCAUCAUUAAGUUGGGCACUCUAGCGAGACUGCCGGUAAUAAACCGGAGGAAGGUGGGGAUGACGUCAAAUCAUCAUGCCCCUUAUGACCUGGGCUACACACGUGCUACAAUGGUUGGUACAACGAUUCGCAAGCCGGUGACGGCAAGCUAAUCUCUGAAAGCCAAUCUCAGUUCGGAUUGUAGGCUGCAACUCGCCUACAUGAAGUCGGAAUCGCUAGUAAUCGCGGAUCAGCACGCCGCGGUGAAUACGUUCCCGGGCCUUGUACACA